GACGUAGGAGGCGAGCGUUGUCCGGAUUCAUUGGGCGUAAAGAGCGCGCAGGCGGCUUGGUAAGUCGGAUGUGAAAAUCCGAGGCUCAACCUCGGACGUGCAUCCGAUACUGCUCGGCUAGAGGUAGGUAGGGGAGAUCGGAAUUCCUGGUGUAGCGGUGAAAUGCGCAGAUAUCAGGAGGAACACCAAUGGCGAAGGCAGCUCGCUGGGACGGUACUGACGCUGGAGGCGCGAAAGCGUGGGGAGCAAACAGG
rnacentral:rRNA from 1 species